rnacentral:tRNA from 1 species
GGGGCUGUAGCUUAGUGGUAGAGUGCUUGCCUUGCAUGUAUGAGGCAUUGGGUUCGAUCCUCAGCUCCA